rnacentral:rRNA from 1 species
UAGGGAAUCUUCCACAAUGGGCGCAAGCCUGAUGGAGCAACACCGCGUGGGUGAAGAAGGGUUUCGGCUCGUAAAGCUCUGUUGUUAAAGAAGAACACGUAUGAGAGUAACUGUUCAUACGUUGACGGUAUUUAACCAGAAAGUCACGGCUAACUACGUGCCAC